rnacentral:lncRNA from 1 species
CUUUAACAUGUGAGAAUGUGUGUUCGGGGCCCAGAGAAAGGGCCUGGCUAUUGUGAAACCUCAGCUCUGGAGUCCCGACCCGCACUGCAGUCAGCAUGCUGGGGUUCAGGCUUAUCUCUUAUCUCCCUAGGGACCUUGUGACGCUGAUACAGCCAAUGGCCAGGAGAUUUGAGGGGCAGAUUCUGCAUCUAUCCAAAGGGUAAGCUUUCUAGAGUUUCAUAUUCCAAAGUGUAUCCUCUCCGUCCUGAUUCACUAUUUGAAGUUGAUAUCCAAAGCAGAAAAGUGAAGGGACCACAAGGGAGGUGAGGACAUAUUAUAUUAGAUUCAGUAUUUUCUUUUGUGUUUUCUGAGAGGAGUGGGGUUGUGCAGUCAGAAAAUGCAUUGAGCAAAUAUAAGAGGAAAUGGAAUUGUGCUUAGGAAAGGAAAAUACCCUGGCAGCGGGAGGAAAGCUGGUCAAUAUGGAGAGGGCCUUGGUUUUCCAACAGUGAAUGUUAUUUUUUUUCUUCUGAUGGCUUGCUUUUGCCUGCUCACAUAUGGUUUCAAGGUGUAUGUUCAAUUGAUCUCCUGUGAACAAAUCAGGAUCAAGUGGUUCUUGGGCCUGAAAUGUUCUAUUUUACCUUUUUGUCCGGGUCUUUCCUUUAAGAAUUGAAAGUACUGCUACCUCCACCAGGAAGCCCUCCAGGAAUACUCCGGCCUCCCUAAUGGCAGCUUUCUCAGACCUCUCAGAGUGUGCAUGACAGGAAGGGGUAGCUUCAGCUUGAAC